rnacentral:lncRNA from 1 species
GUGUUUUAAAGCUUCCAUUGCAAAAAGUGGAGUAUUAGUAAAACGAUAUCCAUUCUUUAGUUGAAAGUAUCGAUGUUCAAGCUUUCGAAAAAAGAAGACAAAGGGAAGUUGAUGGCUUAAAUCAGAGAGCUUGAAUUUAUAACCAUGUAGUCUUCAAUCCAUUACUGGAUUUAAGUAAAGGCUGGCGAACUCGUGAAGUGAAACUUUUGUCGAUGGAAGCAGUGGGAAAAUAACAACAUGACGAUGAAGAUCACGAUGGCUGUCGUCGUUAUCGCUUCAUUAUUGGUGGCGCAGUGUAUUACAGUGGCGUCAGUGUCACCUUCUACUGGGACUUGCUUUAAAAGAUGUAUCGAAAAGAUUCCAUGUAACGAGACAUGUAAGAAGACUUGUCAUCAGCUGUUCGCUCGUCAAG